GGCAGAGUGACAGGUGGUGCAUGGUUGUCGUCAGCUCGUGUCGUGAGAUGUUGGGUUAAGUCCCGCAACGAGCGCAACCCUUGAUCUUAGUUGCCAGCAUUCAGUUGGGCACUCUAAGGUGACUGCCGGUGACAAACCGGAGGAAGGUGGGGAUGACGUCAAAUCAUCAUGCCCCUUAUGACCUGGGCUACACACGUGCUACAAUGGACAGAACAAAGGGCAGCGAAACCGCGAGGUUAAGCCAAUCCCACAAAUCUGUUCUCAGUUCGGAUCGCAGUCUGCAACUCGACUGCGUGAAGCUGGAAUCGCUAGUAAUCGCGGAUCAGCAUGCCGCGGUGAAUACGUUCCCGGGCCUUGUACACACCGCCCGUCACACCACGAGAGUUUGUAACACCCGAAGUCGGUGAGGUAACCUUUUAGGAGCCAGCCGCCGAAGGUGGGACAGAUGAUUGGGGUGAAGUCGUAACAAG
rnacentral:rRNA from 1 species